GCCAGGCAUGGUGGCGCAUGCCUGUAAUCCCAGCUACUUGGGAGGCUGAGGUGGGAGAAUCGCUUGAACCUGGGAGCUGGAGAUUGCAGCAAGCCAAGAUUGCACCACUGCACUCCAGCCUAGAUGACAGAGUGAGACUCUGUCUCAA
rnacentral:SRP_RNA from 1 species